rnacentral:rRNA from 1 species
UAGCGGCAGGCCUAACACAUGCAAGUCGAGGGGUAACGAUGGCUUCGGCCAGGCGACGACCGGCGGACGGGUGAGUAUCGCGUUUGUAACCUGCCUCUAACCGGAGAAUAGCCCGAAGAAAUUCGGAUUAAUGCUCCAUAUUACUAUAAGAUGGCAUCAUUUUAUAGUGAAAGCCCCGGCGGUUAGAGAUGGGCAUGCGUGACAUUAGUUUGUUGGUGAGGUAACGGCUCACCAAGACCACGAUGUCUAGGGGGUCUGAGAGGAUGGUCCCCCACACUGGUACUGAGACACGGACCAGACUCCUACGGGAGGCAGCAGCGAGGAAUAUUGGUCAAUGGGCGAAAGCCUGAACCAGCCAUGCCGCGUGAAGGAUGACAGCGCUACGCGUUGUAAACUUCUUUUGUACGGGAAGAAACACUUCUACUUGUAGAAGCUUGACGGUACCGUACGAAUAAGCAUCGGCUAACUCCGUGCCAGCAGCCGCGGUAAUACGGAGGAUGCAAGCGUUAUCCGGAUUUAUUGGGUUUAAAGGGUACGUAGGCGGGAAAUUAAGUCAGUGGUGAAAUCCUGCAGCUCAACUGUAGAACUGUCAUUGAUACUGGUUUCCUUGAAUGUAGUUGAGGUAGGCGGAAUGUGUAAUGUAGCGGUGAAAUGCUUAGAUAUUACACAGAACACCGAUUGCGAAGGCAGCUUACUAAACUACGAUUGACGCUGAGGUACGAAAGCGUGGGGAGCGAACAGGAUUAGAUACCCUGGUAGUCCACGCUGUAAACGAUGAUCACUCGUUGUUGGCGAUAUACUGUCAGCGACUGAGCGAAAGCAUUAAGUGAUCCACCUGGGGAGUACGACCGCAAGGUUGAAACUCAAAGGAAUUGACGGAGGCCCACACAAGCGGUGGAGGAUGCGGCUUAAUUCGAGGACACGCGUAAAACCUUACCGAGGUUUGACAUGUAGGGAUUAAUCCGGUGAAAGCCGGAGGAUUGCCUUACGGUGUAACCUACACAGGUGCUGCAUGGCUGUCGACAGUUCGUGUCGUGAGAUGUUAGGUUAAGUCCUGAAACGAGCGAAACCCCUGUGCUUAAUUGCCAGCGCGUUAUGGCGGGGACAUUAGGCAGACUGCCUCGGCUAACGGGGAGGAAGGUGGGGACGACGUCAAGUCAGCAUGGCCCUUAUACCUCGGGCUGCACGCGUCCUACAAUGGGCAGUACAAACAGGACCGAUCCCGCGAGGGGGAGGAAAUCUCUAAAGCUGCUCUCAGUUCGGAUUGCAGGCUGAAACCCGCCUGCAUGAAGGUGGAAUCGCUAGUAAUCGCCGGUCAGCUAUACGGCGGUGAAUCCGUCCCUGGGCCUUGUACACACCGCCCGUCAAGCCACCCGAGUUGGGCGCACUCGAAGUCCGAGACUCAACC